rnacentral:lncRNA from 1 species
ACAGAAAUUUGGACAAGGAAAAGAUCAUUUCCACCUGUGAAAACCAGAGCACCUGAAAGUACCAUACAGAAGGUAGCAUUUGAAUUGGGCUUUGAAGGAUGGGUAGAAUUCUGACAAGCAGAAAAGAAGAAAGGGAAGUCCUGAUGAAAAGAACAACAUGAACCGAGGUACCAGAAUAAGUGGGUCAUUUCCCUGCAUCCUGGAGAUCAAAGCAAAGGAAGGUCAGGAAAAAUACUUAAGAGCUUCUUGAAAGAAAAGAAUAAGACUAUCAAAAGGAAAACAUGAAAAAAGGCAAAGAAGAAUCCUAACCUGCCUCAGGAGAUUGGAAGUUAGAAGAAUGUAACUCCAACAAGGAAAGGCAAGGACCCCUGAA